UUAGUUUGGCUUGGUUUGGUUUGGAAAGGUUCAGUUCAGUUUGAAACAGAAACGUAAAAGCAAUUAAAAGAAGUCUGAAUAA